rnacentral:rRNA from 1 species
UACGUAGGGUGCGAGCGUUAAUCGGAAUUACUGGGCGUAAAGCGUGCGUAGACGGUAGCGUAAGUCGGGUGUGAAAGCCCUGGGCUCAACCUGGGAAUUGCAUUCGAGACUGCUCUGCUAGGGUGCGGAAGAGGGGAGCGGAAUUUCCGGUGUAGCGGUGAAAUGCGUAGAUAUCGGAAGGAACACCAGUGGCGAAAGCGGCUCCCUGGUCCAGCACCGACGUUCAGGCACGAAAGCGUGGGGAGCAAACAGG